rnacentral:rRNA from 1 species
UACGUAGGCUGAAAAUUAAGUCAGUAGUGAAAUCCUGCAGCUUAACUGUAGAACUGAUAUUGAUACUGGUUUUCUUGAAUAUAGUUGAGGUAGGCGGAAUGUGUAAUGUAGCGGUGAAAUGCUUAGAUAUUACACAGAACACCGAUUGCGAAGGCAGCUUACUAAACUAUGAUUGACGCUGAGGCACGAAAGCGUGGGGAGCGAACAGGAUUAGAUACCCUGGUAGUCC